rnacentral:lncRNA from 1 species
GCGGCGCAGACACACAGAGGGCGGAGCCGUAAAUCCUCUAAAACACGCGCACUGAAAAUGUACAUUACCGUCCUGCUCGCAGAGGAAAAUCUGAGUAAUUAUUUCCUGAUAACAUAAAUCCAGCGUGAAGAUCGAUCAGAUAUGAAGAUGUGACUGAAGUGUUGGAUUGUUUCUGCUGCAGCCUCAGUGAGCUCUGUGACAUCAUCGAUAUAAAGAUCAAUGAUCGAGGGCGGUUUGUUUAAUAUGACAGUGAUCAAUAACACUGAAUAUCUGCUCACAGCCACAUGAUUAGAACCCGGCAGGAAGUGUGACAUCACAUCAGGACUCACACAGUUAAACACAUCUUCCUCAACAGGGACAUUUUUGGAUUGUGCAUCAGCGGCGUGUGUGUGCGUGCGUGCACGAACCCACGCGUGUGCGCUCGGGUGCGUGUGCGCGCAGGCGGAGGAUCGGAGCAGAGCCGUACCGUGCAGCAGGCACAAGCCGCUGGGCGCGCAGGAGAAGCCGCAAAAAAAUACAGCAGCCGCUACUUGAAACUGCGAGGAGAGCAGAGGAGCGUCCGAACUUCAGCGUGCACGCCAGUAAACAGUUGAACGUCCAGAAAUAAGAGGAGCACCUCCGCUGCUCGCCCCACCUCUUUGUCUGUGUGGAGGUGUGACACACACACACACACACACACACACACAGCGGCUCUAACCAGAUUAUGUCAUGAUUCAGAUGAAUUAUUGAUCUCUAUUACCGUUUUAUUGCACCGAGAAGAAGAAGAAGAAGAAGAAGAAGAAGAAGGAGAAGAAGGAUGGAUGGAGGAGGAGUGGGGGGGUUUGGGGAGCGCGUGUGGGUUGAUGGGGGGGUGAUGGAGAAUCGUACCUGAACCACACACACACACACAAACACACGCGCGCACACACGCACGCAUCUUCUGUUACUGCUGCAUCGAUGUUGGAUGUUAUUCCUGCAGCGAGUCAAACUUUAUCAGCCAUCCUCCGUCGGUUAAUUGCCCGGUCCUUUGUUUGCCGCGGCACGCAUGCGCACUGGGAGUAGGGUGUGGAUGGGAGAGAUGCCACUUUGUAUAUCAAUAGGAUGGAGAUGGAGGAGAGGAGAGGAGGAGAGGAGGAGAGGAGGACGGCGGUGGUUCGAAUCCUCCGUCCGUUUAGUUAAAACAUGAUGAUAGAAAUAAAAUGCUUUUAGUGGCGGUGUGUGUGUGUGUGUGUGUGUGUGUGUGUGUGUGUGUGUGAUGCUGAAGCAGAAUCAGACCGAUCCUUCACAGUUCAGUUGAUUAUAGUGAUGCUGUAACUAACAGACAGAAGAAUUGUCAAUUUAUUGAUUAGUUGAUGUGAAGAGAAUUCAU